rnacentral:rRNA from 1 species
GAUGAACGCUGGCGGCGUGCCUAAUACAUGCAAGUCGAGCGAACGGACGAGAAGCUUGCUUCUCUGAUGUUAGCGGCGGACGGGUGAGUAACACGUGGAUAACCUACCUAUAAGACUGGGAUAACUUCGGGAAACCGGAGCUAAUACCGGAUAAUAUUUUGAACCGCAUGGUUCAAAAGUGAAAGACGGUCUUGCUGUCACUUAUAGAUGGAUCCGCGCUGCAUUAGCUAGUUGGUAAGGUAACGGCUUACCAAGGCAACGAUGCAUAGCCGACCUGAGAGGGUAAUCGGCCACACUGAACUUGAGACACGGUCCAGACUCCUACGGGAGGCAGCAGUAGGGAAUCUUCCGCAAGGGGCGAAGGCCUGACGGGGAAACGCCGCGUGAGUGAUGAAGGUCUUCGGAUCGUAAAACUCUGUUAUUAGGGAAGAACAUAUGUGUAAGUAACUGUGCACAUCUUGACGGUACCUAAUCAGAAAGCCACGGCUAACUACGU